rnacentral:rRNA from 1 species
UGCAAGUCGAACGGUGAAGCAGAGCUUGCUUUGUGGAUCAGUGGCGAACGGGUGAGUAACACGUGAGCAACCUGCCCCUGACUCUGGGAUAAGCGCUGGAAACGGCGUCUAAUACUGGAUAUGAGCCGCGAUCGCAUGGUCAGUAGUUGGAAAGAUUUUUCGGUCUGGGAUGGGCUCACGGCCUAUCAGCUUGUUGGUGAGGUAAUGGCUCACCAAGGCGUCGACGGGUAGCCGGCCUGAGAGGGUGACCGGCCACACUGGGACUGAGACACGGCCCAGACUCCUACGGGAGGCAGCAGUGGGGAAUAUUGCACAAUGGGC